GCGGGGGUAGCUCAGCUGGUAGAGCGCAACCUUGCCAAGGUUGAGGUCGCGAGUUCGAACCUCGUUCCCCGCUCCA
rnacentral:tRNA from 1 species